UCCGUAGGGUGCGAGCGUUAAUCGGAAUUACUGGGCGUAAAGUGUGCGCAGGCGGCUGAGCAAGUCGAGUGUGAAAGCCCCGGGCUUAACUUGGGAAUUGCGCUCGAAACUACUUGGCUGGAGUGUGGCAGAGGAAGGUGGAAUUCCACGUGUAGCGGUGAAAUGCGUAGAGAUGUGGAGGAACACCAAUGGCGAAGGCAGCCUUCUGGGCCAACACUGACGCUCAUGCACGAAAGCGUGGGGAGCAAACAGG
rnacentral:rRNA from 1 species